rnacentral:rRNA from 1 species
CUACGGAGGGUGCAAGCGUUGUCCGGAUUUAUUGGGUUUAAAGGGUGCGUGGGUGGCGUGUUAAGUCAGUGGUGAAAGCCUGCAGCUCAACUGUAGAGGUGCCAUUGAUACUGACAUGCUUGAGUAUGGACGAGGUAGGCGGAAUUUGUGGUGUAGCGGUGAAAUGCAUAGAUACCACAAAGAACACCGAUAGCGAAGGCAGCUUACUGGACCAUAACUGACACUGAGGCACGAAAGUGUGGGUAGCGAACAGGAUUAGAAACCCUAGUAGUCC